ACGUUAGCGGCGGACGGGUGAGUAACACGUGGGUAACCUACCUAUAAGACUGGGAUAACUUCGGGAAACCGGAGCUAAUACCGGAUAAUAUUUCUAACCGCAUGGUUCGAUAGUGAAAGAUGGUUUUGCUAUCACUUAUAGAUGGACCUGCGCCGUAUUAGCUAGUUGGUAAGGUAACGGCUUACCAAGGCGACGAUACGUAGCCGACCUGAGAGGGUGAUCGGCCACACUGGAACUGAGACACGGUCCAGACUCCUACGGGAGGCAGCAGGC
rnacentral:rRNA from 1 species